rnacentral:rRNA from 1 species
AUUCCUACGGGAGGCAGCAGUGAGGAAUAUUGGUCAAUGGUCGCAAGACUGAACCAGCCAAGUAGCGUGAGGGAAGACUGCCCUAUGGGUUGUAAACCUCUUUUAUCUGGGGAUAAAGUGCCCCACGUGUGGGGUUUUGCAUGUACCGUAUGAAUAAGGAUCGGCUAACUCCGUGCCAGCAGCCGCGGUAAUACGGAGGAUCCGAGCGUUAUCCGGAUUUAUUGGGUUUAAAGGGUGCUCAGGCGGGAUGUUAAGUCGGCGGUGAAAUUUUGCGGCUCAACCGUAAAAGUGCCUUCGAAACUGGCAACCUUGAGUGUGGAUGAGGUAGGCGGAAUUUGUGGUGUAGCGGUGAAAUGCAUAGAUAUCACAAGGAACUCCGAUUGCGCAGGCAGCUUACUAAACCAUAACUGACGCUCAAGCACGAAGGCGUGGGGAUCAAACAGGAUUAGAUACCCUGGUAGUCCACGCAGUAAACGAUGAUUACUGGCUGUUUGCGAUAUAAUGUAAGCGGCUGAGCGAAAGCGUUAAGUAAUCCACCUGGGGAGUACGUUCGCAAGAAUGAAACUCAAAUGAAUUGACGGAAU